rnacentral:misc_RNA from 1 species
GCAAACUUGGUCAUUUAGAGGAAGUAAAAGUCGUAACAAGGUUUCCGUAGGUGAACCUGCGGAAGGAUCAUUAAUGAAUUGAAUGGGUUAGUUGAUGCUGGCACUUGUUGUGCAUGUGCUCGCUACCCGCCAAUUUUAUCCAUACACCCGUGCACACACUUGUCCGUAUGGGACUGAGGCGAGAGCCACGGUUCGAUACGGUACAAAUUUUACACAAACUCAAGUUAAACAAAGAAUGUUCACAAGCCGCAGGGCUUUUAAUUAAAAUACAACUUUUAACAACGGAUCUCUUGGCUCUCGCAUCGAUGAAGAACGCAGC